AAGGCAUAGUGAUGGCACUUUCUAAGCAUCUCCUUAAAUAACUCCCAACACUCAUAAAUAGAUUCUCCUUCUAACUGAUUAAAAGAAGUAAUAACAUUUCUAAGUUU